rnacentral:rRNA from 1 species
CAAUAGCGUAUAUUUAGGUUGUUGCAGUUAAAAAGCUCGUAGUUGGAUUUCGGAUGGGCUUGACCGGUCCGCCGUUUGGUGUGCACUGGUCGUGCCUAUCUUGCUGCCGGGGACGCGCUCCUGGCCUUAAUUGGCUGGGACGCGGAGUCGGCGAUGUUACUUUGAAAAAAUUAGAGUGUUCAAAGCAGGCCUAAGCUCUGAAUACAUUAGCAUGGAAUAACGCUAUAGGACUCUGGUCUUAUUGCGUUGGUCUUCGAGACCGGAGUAAUGAUUAAGAGGGACAGUUGGGGGCAUUCGUAUUUCAUUGUCAGAGGUGAAAUUCUUGGAUUUAUGAAAGACGAACUUCUGCGAAAGCAUUUGCCAAGGAUGUUUUCAUUAA